CCUACGGGCGGCAGCAGUCGAGAAUCAUUCACAAUGGUGGAAACCCUGAUGGUGCGACGCCGCGUGGGGGAAUGAAGGUCUUCGGAUUGUAAACCCCUGUCAUGUGGGAGCAAAUUAAAAAGAUAGUACCACAAGAGGAAGAGACGGCUAACUCUGUGCCAGCAGCCGCGGUAAUCCAGAGGUCUCAAGCGUUGUUCGGAUUCACUGGGCGUAGAGCGUGCGUAGGCUGUUUCGUAAGUCGUGUGUGAAAGGGACGGGCUCAACCCGCAGACGGCACAUGAUACUGCGAGACUAGAGUAAUGGAGGGGGAACCGGAAUUCUCGGUGUAGCAGUGAAAUGCGUAGAUAUCGGGAGGAACACUAGUGGCGAAGGCGGGUUACUGGACAUUAACUGACGCUGAGGCACGAAGGCCAGGGGAGCGAAAGGGAUUAGAUACCCUUGUAGUC
rnacentral:rRNA from 1 species